CCUAAGGUAGCGAAAUUCCUUGUCAGGUAAGUUCUGACCCGCACGAAUGGCGUAACGAUUUGGGCGCUGUCUCAACAUGGGACCCGGCGAAAUUGUAGUAUACGUGAAGAUGCGUAUUACCCGCGACUGGACGGAGAGACCCCGUAGAGCUUUACUGUAGUCUGAUAUUGGAUUUCGGUGAUUUAUGUACAGGAUAGGUGGGAGACUUUGAAGCAUAGGCGUCAGCUUAUGUGGAGUCAACCUUGGGAUACCACCCUUAAAUUAUUGAGGUUCUAACUUUGUGCCGUAAUCCGGGCAGAGAACAGUGUCAGAUGGGCAGUUUGACUGGGGCGGUCGCCUCCUAAAAUGUAACGGAGGCGUCCAAAGGUUCCCUCAGGAUGGUUGGAAAUCAUCCAAAGAGUAUAAAGGCAGAAGGGAGCUUAACUGCGAGACAGACAUGUCGAGCAGAUACGAAAGUAGGGCUUAGUGAUCCGGCGGUAGAGUAUGGAAUUGCCGUCGCUUAACGGAUAAAAGUUACCUCGGGGAUAACAGGCUUAUCUCCCCCAAGAGUUCACAUCGACGGGGAGGUUUGGCACCUCGAUGUCGGCUCGUCACAUCCUGGGGCUGUAGUAGGUCCCAAGGGUUCGGCUGUUCGCCGAUUAAAGUGGCACGCGAGCUGGGUUCAGAACGUCGUGAGACAGUUCGGUCCCUAUCCAUCGUGGGCGUAGGAUAUUUGAGAGGAUCUGCUCCUAGUACGAGAGGACCAGAGUGGACGCACCUAUGGUGCACCUGUUGUCGCGCCAGCGGCACAGCAGGGUAGCGAUGUGCGGAUGGGAUAAACGCUGAAAGCAUCUAAGCGUGAAACCCACCUCAAGAUUAGAUAUCCCAUAUCAUAAGAUAGUAAGACCCCUUGAAGACUACAAGGUUGAUAGGUCGGAGGUGUAAGCACGGUAACGUGUUCAGCUGACCGAUACUAAUAGGUCGAGGGCUUAAUCAA
rnacentral:rRNA from 1 species